rnacentral:tRNA from 1 species
GCGUCACUCGUCUAGCCGGUAAGACCUCAGCCUUCCAAGCUGAUGACAGGGGUUCGAGCCCCCUGUGACGCU